rnacentral:rRNA from 1 species
AAGUCGUAACAAGGUUUCCGUAGGUGAACCUGCGGAAGGAUCAUUACACACAGUAGAUUUCUACUGAUCGGGGGAGCUGAAAGCCCGGUUUAACCGCUGGAUCCCGAGUAAGCUCCCUGUCUGCACCCUUGUCUUUUGCGUACCUAUGUUUCCUCGGCAGGCUUGCCUGCCGAUUGGACAAUUAUAAACUCUUUUUAAUUUUAAAUCAGCGUCUGAAUAAUUUUAAUAAUUACAACUUUCAACAACGGAUCUCUUGGUUCUGGCAUCGAUGAAGAACGCAGCGAUAUGCGAUAAGUAGUGUGAAUUGCAGAAUUCAGUGAAUCAUCGAAUCUUUGAACGCACAUUGCGCCCCUUGGUAUUCCAUGGGGCAUGCCUGUUCGAGCGUCAUUUGUACCCUCAAGCUAUGCUUGGUGUUGGGUGUUUGUCCUCUCCUCGCGUUUGGACUCGCCUUAAAGAAAUUGGCAGCCAGUGUAUUGGUAUUGAAGCGCAGCACAAUUUGCGAUUCUAGCUAAUAGCCACUUGCGACCAUCAAGUCUUCUUAACACUUUUGACCUCGGAUCAGGUAGGGAUACCCGCUGAACUUAAGCAUAUCAAUAAGCGGAGGAAAAGAAACCAACAGGGAUUGCCCUAGUAACGGCGAGUGAAGCGGCAACAGCUCAAAUUUGAAAUCUGGCUCUUUCAGAGUCCGAGUUGUAAUUUGCAGAGGGCGCUUUGGCGUUGGCAGCGGUCCAAGUUCUUUGGAACAGGACGUCACAGAGGGUGAGAAUCCCGUACGUGGUCGCUAGCCUUCGCCGUGUAAAGCCCCUUCGACGAGUCGAGUUGUUUGGGAAUGCAGCUCUAAAUGGGAGGUAAAUUUCUUCUAAAGCUAAAUACUGGCCAGAGACCGAUAGCGCACAAGUAGAGUGAUCGAAAGAUGAAAAGCACUUUGGAAAGAGAGUCAAAUAGCACGUGAAAUUGUUGAAAGGGAAGCGCCUGCAGCCAGACUUGCCUGUAGUUGCUUAUCCGGACUUUUGUCCGGUGCACUCUUCUGCGGGCAGGCCAGCAUCAGUUUGGGCGGUUGGAUAAAGGUCUCUGUCAUGUACCUCUCUUCGGGGAGGCCUUAUAGGGGAGACGACAUGCAACCAGCCUGGACUGAGGUCCGCGCAUCUGCUAGGAUGCUGGCGUAAUGGCUGUAAGCGGCC